rnacentral:misc_RNA from 1 species
GAUGAUCAACAGGUUAUUCAACUCACAAUCUAAAUUAUUGGAUUAAGAUAGUUUCUUUACAACCUCUGUAAUUGUGCAACAUGGUUUCUUUUACUCUUCCAGAACUUCUUGGAGAAAUAGUUAUCAGUAUCGCAGGCUUCCCCUAUCAUUUCCUUCAUUUUAUAUCUGUUUCCUUUUGCAAAGUUGUCAUAUAACACCAUCUCUUAGGCCUUCCAAGGCCUUCAUGAAGAUGCUGCUACUGAUGGUAUUGAGGCUUUUAUAUUUUUGGUUGUGGAAUGUAUUAAUUAUUAUUUUGAGUAUAAUAAUUAUUAUGAACUAGAAAGAGGAACAGAUCCAGGAAUAUUAGAGAGAGUUAAUUCCACCAUCUAUUGCCUGUUUCCUCCAAUCCUUUCCUUGAUGUAGAAAGUCUUUUACGUUUUAGGUGUAUCAAAUUCUAAUAAAUACAAUGAUUCAUGUUCCAUUCAGGGGCAUUUCCAUAACAAGAAGCUAAGUUUGCUACUAUAUAUAUAUUUUGGCUUUUUCUCUGGAAUUACUUAAAAGUCUUGGAAUAUGUUCAUAACCAUGUGGCUUCGUAGCUGCUUGGUGUGGAUUUAAACUGUUAUUUGUGUAUUUGUUAUACAUAUACUGCUAUUUUGUACCUUUUCUAUUGUUUUCCUCUUUGAACUUCCAUAAAUAUUUUCUCAAUCAGCAUUGAAUUUGAAGUCUCUCCUCUUGUUAUUUGGAUGUCUCUGUGGUAUAAGUUGAGCCAUUGACUUUCUAGAAUGCCUAAAUAUAUCUGUUUUUUGGGGAUUUUGGUUUUGCAUCAUUGUGAGAACUAGACAUACAUGUAUGAUUUCAUUAUUGUUUUUAUCUGAAUGUAAUAGGCGUAGCUCAUUAAUUUGGUCCAGCAUUGUAGCUUGUGGUCAAAUCUCGACUCAAUAAGUUGUAAAUGGGUACAAGUUGCACCAACUUGAUUUUUCAUUGAUCCUGUAUUCUGAAUUCAAGUGUUUGCUUGUUCUGGUUGUUUAUGAAAGAGUCUGACUAGAUGAGAUUUUUCAUAUGGUUUGGUUAUGAUAGACUACAUUGAUAUCUGUACAGGCUAUUGCAGCAAUGAUGCG